rnacentral:rRNA from 1 species
UAGUGGCGAACGGGUGAGUAACACGUGAGUAACCUGCCCCUUACUUUCCUGGAUAACUGCUCGAAAGGGUAGCUAAUACGGGAUAUUCUGGCCUUCCUGCAUGGGUUGGUUUGGAAAGGUUUUUUUCUGGUAAGGGAUGGGCUCGCGGCCUAUCAGCUUGUUGGUGGGGUGAUGGCCUACCAAGGCUUUGACGGGUAGCCGGCCUGAGAGGGUGGACGGUCACACUGGGACUGAGAUACGGCCCAGACUCC